UAUAUGUUGAAUUACAUAUUAUUGUUGAGCAAGAUUAAAAACCUUCGGGUUUGGAACCAGCCAUGUAUGAACAUCCCUAUAUGGGAAAAAUUUUGUGCCCGAGGCGGACAGAAUAAAACGAUGAAUUUCGUUCAGAGUUAUGUAGUAUUGAUCAAUACAUGGUACAACGGGGCUGAUCACCCUCCGUACCCGUAAGCUAGAACGGUUUGCGGAUGGAUUUCUGCCAAACCUUUUCGAAAAUGAAAAGAAUGUUCAUAGUAUGUUUCUUAAACCCUAUUCAUGGGUGGAGCCUAAUUUCAAGAAAUUGAAAGAGAGUUGUUAUGUGAAUUUUUUAUCAGUACAGAUUACUUCACAACUUUCGAUUCGUUGUAGAAGUGUUAUGUAAAGAGAAUACUUAUAUUCUUUCAGCUUAUAUAUAUAAUUGCUAUUACUUGCUGGGCACUCAAAUGCUCAUCCUUGCUUAAAUUAAAUGUUUUCAGUUACGUAUGAGCAACCUGAAGGUUCAGGCACGCAUAAAGGAAAAGAAAAGCUGUUCGAAUGAGAAUUAGUAUGAGUUAAUGGUUAUAGUUAGUAAGACAAUGGAAUCUAUUGUCAGGUAUUGUAAGGAAUGUAUUUUGAAGGUCACG
rnacentral:lncRNA from 1 species